GAAAAAAAAAGUGAUCAGUAAUAUAGCCUUUAUGAAGUUUGCUGCUGUCUCUUCAUUUUAUUAUUUCCUCUUUAUUUACCUCUAAAUAAAGUUAAAUAAA